rnacentral:rRNA from 1 species
UGGGGAAUCUUGCGCAAUGGGCGAAAGCCUGACGCAGCGACGCCGCGUGAGUGAUGAAGGCCUUCGGGUUGUAAAGCUCUGUGGGGAGAGAAGAAUAAGUGCGGGCUAAUACCCCGCAUGAUGACGGUAUCUCCUUAGCAAGCACCGGCUAACUCUGUGCCAGCAGCCGCGGUAAGACAGAGGGUGCAAACGUUGUUCGGAAUUACUGGGCGUAAAGCGAGUGUAGGCGGUUUGGUAAGUCGGAUGUGAAAGCCCCGGGCUCAACCCGGGAAGUGCAUUCGAUACUGCCAAGCUAGAGUAUCGGAGAGGUUGGUGGAAUUCUCGGUGUAGAGGUGAAAUUCGUAGAUAUCGAGAGGAACACCGGUGGCGAAGGCGGCCAACUGGACGAAUACUGACGUUGAGGCACGAAAGCGUGGGGAGCAAACAGGAUUAGAUACCCCAGUAGUCCCUGAGCGGGCUGGCAAGGCGCAU